ensembl:lncRNA
CUGCAUGUUUUCUACAGCAGCUGAUUUGUAUGGAAGCUGUUUUACCCGACGGGAACCGGACACAUGUGCAAGUUCACUUUCCUUUCGCCCCGGCGGGCGCGUCUGGUCACUCUCUGCUUUGGACAGAUUUACAGCCACUUGAGAUCUGUCGGACAAACCAGACCGGCUAAUCUAAUACGGGGCGUGUUUGAAACGAUGACUGUCCGUCUAAAAAAGACAAAAAGAAGAUUGCUUCGGCUGAUGUGGAACUUUCUGUUUAUGGCUGCAAUCUCGAAUCCAUCGGCCUGAGUGAAUAUAACACGAGCUCGCAGAUUUGUCUGCUUUCCUGGAAACUAAGACCACCUCAUAUCUUUUCUUUUCGAUUCUGAUGUAGAAAAAAAGGUCUAGGAGCCCCGUUUCCCAGACACAGCGAUGCUUCAGCAUGCGGGCUCAUCCCUGCACGCUCGCUCACUCGGCGCUAUAAUUGGUCGGAGGUCUAUCUAAUUGCAUCCGGAGGUAUCUUCUUAAUUUGCUGUCUACGCCCCUUGUAAAAUGGAAAAUGUACUGCGAUGUUCAACAUUCAUUUUGCAUUUGUUAUUUGGUCAGGCGCUAUCAGGCUAAUAACACUCUGCCAGGAGUUAUGAAUCCUUUUAACAACUAUAAAUGUAUCGUACAGGUACUUCCUGAGGCCGCGGGGCACUGCAGAUGUUGUCCAAAAAGGACCAUUUAAGGACCAUUUUCAACUGUGAAUUCCUUUGUUCAACGCUUUAUGGGAAACGUUUUACAGCGGCAGGGCAGUUUUAAAUAUGUUCGUCAUGGUGAGGAAGGAACAACCCGGUGCAGCGGUUUCUAGCCAAUGUAGCAUUUAGCUACACGACUGCUCUCUGCCGACAUUCACCUCAGAAUGAACCUAAAUAUGUAAAUAAAUAAUCCUGUGACAUUGUCA